GUGGUGAAAUGCUUUGAGGACGGGGAUAGCCGUUAGAAAUAGCGGAUAAUACCGGAUACGCCCACAUCUGUUAGAGGGUGGUGGGGAAAGGGGCUACGGCCCCGCCUAAAGAGUGGCCCGCGGCCCAUUAUGCUCGUUGGUGUGGUAACGGCGCACCAAGGCUCUGAUGGGUAUCCGGCCUAAGAGGGUGAACGGACUCAUUGGGACUGAGAUACGGCCCAGACUCCUACGGGAGGCAGCAGCUAAGAAUAUUCCGCAAUGGGCGAAAGCCUGACGGAGCGNCGCCGCGUGGGUGAGGAAGGCCGAAAGGUUGUAAAGCCCUUUUGAGCCUGAAGAAUAAGCUUUCGGAGGGAAUGCCGGAGUGGUGGCGUUAGGUAAUGAAUAAGCCCCGGCUA
rnacentral:rRNA from 1 species